AAGUCGUAACAAGGUUUCCGUAGGUGAACCUGCGGAAGGAUCAUUACCCGAGUUAGGGUUCUCUCGAGCCCGAUCUCCAACCCUUUUGUUUAAAAUCACUUUGUUGCUUCGGCAGGCCCGCUCUCUGGGGCCGCCGGGGAUGUUCAGUCAUCUCUGGCCAGUGCUUGUCAGUAGCCACUUCAAAUCCAUGUUAACCAUGUCGUCUGAACCAUUAAAUAUAAAUUUAAUUAAAA
rnacentral:misc_RNA from 1 species